UACGAAGGGGGCUAGCGUUGUUCGGAAUUACUGGGCGUAAAGCGCGCGCAGGCGGUCUUCCAAGUCAGUGGUGAAAGCCUGGAGCUCAACUCCAGAACUGCCAUUGAAACUGCAAGACUUGAGUACGAGAGAGGUGAGUGGAAUUCCCAGUGUAGAGGUGAAAUUCGUAGAUAUUGGGAAGAACACCGGUGGCGAAGGCGGCAUCCUGGACCAACACUGACACUGAGGAGCGAAAGCCAGGGGAGCAAACGGG
rnacentral:rRNA from 1 species